GGGUGAGUAACACGUAGGUGACCUGCCCCAGAGAGGAGAAUAACCAUGCGAAAGCGUGGCUAAUACUCCAUACGGUCGGCCAUUCGUUUGGUCGAUUAAAGCUACGGCGCUCUGGGAGGGGCCUGCGGCCCAUCAGCUAGUUGGUAGGGUAAUGGCCUACCAAGGCUAUGACGGGUAGCUGGUCUGAGAGGACGAUCAGCCACAAUGGGACUGAAACACGGCCCAUACUUCUACGGAAGGCAGCAGUGAGGAAUAUUGGACAAUCAACGAAAGUUGGAUCCAGCAACGCCGCGUGGAUGAUGAAGGCCUUCGGGUUGUAAAAUCCUUUUAAGAGGGAAGAGUAAGGACGGUACCUCUUGAAUUAAGUCUCGGCUAACUACGUGCCAGCAGCCGCGGUAACACGUAGGAGGCUAGCGUUAUCCGGAUUUAUUGGGCGUAAAGUGCGCGCAGGCGGCUAGGUAAGUCGGGUGUGAAAGCUCCGAGCUCAACUCGGAGAGGUCACUCGAUACUGCCUGGCUUGAGAGCGGGAGAGGGAAGUAGAAUUCUGGGUGUAGUGGUGAAAUGCGUAGAUAUCCAGAGGAAUACCAGUGGCGAAGGCGGCUUCCUGGCCCGUUUCUGACGCUGAGGCGCGAAAGCGUGGGUAGCGAACGGAAUUAGAAACUCCGGUAGUCCACGCCGUAAACGAUGGGUACUAGGUGUGGGGAGUAUUAACCCCUCUCCGUGCCGCAGCAAACGCGUUAAGUACCCCGCCUGCAGACUACGGCCGCAAGGCUAAAGCGCAAAGGAAUUGACGGGGGCCCGCACAAGCAGUGGAGCGUGUGGUUCAAUUCGAAAAUACACGAAGAACCUUACCUGGGUUUGACAUGUUAGUAGUAGUGAAGCGAAAGCGGAACGAUCCUUCGGGAAGCUAUCACAGGUGCUGCAUGGCUGUCGUCAGCUCGUGCCGUGAGGUGUUGGGUUAAGUCCUGUAACGAGCGCAACCCUUACUGCCAGUUACAAGUGUCUGGCGGAACUGCCGGUGUCAAACCGGAGGAAGGUGAGGAUGACGUCAAGUCAGCAUGGCCUUUAUAUCCAGGGCUACACACACGCUACAAUGGCCGGCACAAUAGGUUGCCAAGCCGCGAGGCGGAGCUAAUCCUUAAAGUCGGUCUCAGUUCGGAUUGUAGGCUGCAACCCGCCUGCAUGAAGUUGGAGUUGCUAGUAACCGCGCGUCAGCAAUAGUGCGGUGAAUACGUUCCCGGGCCUUGUACACACCGCCCGUCACGUCAUGGGAGUUGAUAACACCUGAAGUCGGUG
rnacentral:rRNA from 1 species